AAAUAAUUACCUGCAGGGGAAGGGCCAUUCAUGACACAAUAUGCAAGGUGCAAGGAAAUGCGGGAAGGUCCAAUGCGAGGGAUUGCUCGAAGGAAGGGAAGAUGAUGAGCGGAGAUUUAUAAUCGAAAACGCCGCGGUAGUAGUCUUGGACGCACUAAUAAUACUUAUCACUAGGGCUAUCAAUAAUACCUUACUUACUAUCCACCACUCGUAUUCGACAAUGUUUUCAUUUCGACCGACUUCCACAACUGCACGCCAAUCCCUACUCCAACCGCCCCACCUGUCGACUUCGCGCGAAGCGAUUGACUCCGCUCUCUUCAAAUCAGGGCAGCGAGCCCCCUUGCUCACCGGCGGGGCAUUAAAACCCCUGAUUAUCUAUAAUGGUGGUCUGUUGAAGGAGAAAAACAAAGAGAAGUCAGUCGAUGGAAGAUGAAACUGGGAAAGGUAGGGGAAGAACAACCGCUAGCAAAGAUGUUUCCGGUGCUGCAAAUGAUCAGAUGACGACUGCAGAAGCUAGAAGUUGGCCGGCAGGAAUGAGGAGGGGAACCAAGUGAACUCUCACAUAAUGUUUGUUUUAGAUAACCAAUUACGAAAGAAGUAAAAACAUAAAUAGUAAAUUAACUCGAAAUGGACAUUUAUUAAAUUAGAUAGUCACACAUUUAUAGAGCAGCGAGG
rnacentral:sRNA from 1 species